rnacentral:rRNA from 1 species
GAUGAACGCUGGCGGCGUGCCUAAUACAUGCAAGUCGAGCGAACAGACGAGGAGCUUGCUCCUCUGACGUUAGCGGCGGACGGGUGAGUAACACGUGGAUAACCUACCUAUAAGACUGGGAUAACUUCGGGAAACCGGAGCUAAUACCGGAUAAUAUAUUGAACCGCAUGGUUCAAUAGUGAAAGACGGUUUUGCUGUCACUUAUAGAUGGAUCCGCGCCGCAUUAGCUAGUUGGUAAGGUAACGGCUUACCAAGGCAACGAUGCGUAGCCGACCUGAGAGGGGGAGCGGCGGCGCGGGAAGGGAGAGGGGGUGCAGAGGCCUGGGGGAGGCAGGAGUAGGGAAUCGUCCGCAAGGGGCGAAAGGCUGACGGAGCAACGCCGCGUGAGUGAUGAAGGUCUUCGGAUCGUAAAACUCUGUUAUUAGGGAAGAACAAAUGUGUAAGUAACUAUGCACGUCUUGACGGUACCUAAUCAGAAAGCCACGGCUAACUACGUG